GGCCGGUUAGCUCAGUCGGUCUAGAGCGUGGUGCUAAUAACGCCAAGGUCACGGGUUCGACCCCCGUUACGGGCCA